rnacentral:rRNA from 1 species
UACAGAGGUCUCAAGCGUUGUUCGGAUUCAUUGGGCGUAAAGGGUGCGUAGGUGGCGCCGUAAGUCAGGUGUGAAAUUUCGGAGCUUAACUCCGAAACUGCAUUCGAUACUGCGGUGCUUUGAGGACUGGAGAGGAGACUGGAAUUCAUGGUGUAGCAGUGAAAUGCGUAGAGAUCGUAAGGAAGACCAGUGGCGAAGGCGGGUCUCUGGACAGUUCCUGACGCUGAGGCACGAAGGUCAGGGGGAGCAAACGGG